CGAAAAUCGUUGAGAGAAAAAUUAUGCGGAAUAAAUCUAAUUUUUUAAUUUUUUUUUUUUUUUUGAACAUGUGUAUAUUGCUGAUUUUAAAACGAAGGUGAAAUCAGAAUUGAGCGGACUGACUAAGUUUUUAAAUUAUAGCUUUUUGAAGUUCUGAUAUUAUGCAGAUAUUAUAUGUGAUAUUAAAUAACUAAAUAUUGUCAUCCUGAAAAAUGUUGAAUGGUCAUAGUUGAAUGGCUAAAAUAGGUAUGUUUUACCUAUUUUAACACUAGAGUUUCAGACUUAAAACUCGUGUUUCGAGUUUGAAAAAAAUGUUUUGCACUUUUUUCCCCGUUUACUUAAACAAGGAAAAAACAAAUGUAUUUUGGGUGUACCCCAGAUAUCCAAGCCAUCGCUCGCUCGGACUAUUUUAAUCGCAAAAUACCCCUUAAUUUGUUGAAUGAAAUUUUAUCUUUAUGGUAACUUGAAGAGGUUAUUUUUUGAUUUUCCCAACAAAUGGGAAAAAUGGAGAAACAACGGGAAAAUUUGUUAAAUUACAAAAUAUUUACAAAAAAUACAACUUGUGACAGAAUUCUAAAUUAUUUAAUCAGUAAUUGAUACAAUUUUUUAUUAAGUUAAAGUUGGAAAAUCGUGAAUUUUGAAAAAAACAAAUUAAUUAUAUACAUACAUUUUAUCUUACACUGAUGAUUAGGAAAAACAGGUAAGAGAAAAAAAUCUCAGAUGAUACAGUUGAAAAUAAUUCAAAUACUUCUAAAUUAAAAAUAAGGGACAUACUUCGCACAUGGGCGGUCACUGUUGUAGGUGAGAAGUUAAGAAGAUAGAAGGGCAAUUUAAUCUAUAUCUCUACUCAACGAUUAACUAUUGUAAACGAAAAAACGAUUCUGCGCGAACUUAGGUUAUACAUAUUUAAAAAGGUUGUAAUAGUUAUCAUUUGAUAAUAACACAUUUCGUACAUUUUUCCACGUUUAUUAGAGAAAAUCAAAAAAAGACCUUCUUAAAGUACUACCCCAGUCAUAUUUCCUUUUUGAAAAAGUGCUACACUUGAAAAUUAGAGCGAGA